UCAUCACUCCAGAUUGCUGAGGAUGCACAGGAAUGGUAGGACAUUAGAUCAAAAGCGGUCGGUUGCCUCUUAAAUUGAGCCGUGAUGAAAUAAUGGUUUUUGUAUAUAUUGGUUAAAAGACUCGUGACUCUCAUCUAUGUUUAUCAGAUCUGUAUGUUGCUGCGUCUUCGUUGAGCAAAUGUUCCACUACAGUGCUCUCCAGGUUGUCGUUUAUUUCUAAAAGCUUGGUUGCGUAAUGGAGUGUUUUUCAUGAGUUGAAAAACUGUUCGGCUGAUGCUGUAUUGUUUGCUUGUGAAUGAUUUUUCUAAAUUUAUGUUAUUAGACAACAAACAUCUUC
rnacentral:misc_RNA from 1 species